rnacentral:lncRNA from 1 species
UUAAAAAAAGGUGCGAUAUAUGGUGGAGCUAAUGUUGCACCAUAGUCUUUCAAUUUACUAACAUGUUGCUAUCAAUAACUAGACAUUAUAUGUUAUUACCAUUGUUACAUUUAUGGCACGUUUGGUGUGGAGGAUAAGAUUGAAACGAUAAAAUGGGAUGAGAUAGAAUUUGAUUGGAUUAUAAUCGGUGAUGAAUCAUAUUUGUUGUCAUACAAGAUUUUUGGUUAAAUUGUACAUAUCAUUUUUUUCACUAAAGUAAUUAAAAAUAAAU